AUGAAUCAGGCUUGAUCAUCUUCAGUGGUAGCAAGCAGAGGUUUGGGGCACAAUCUGCAAAAAUCAGACAUGGAAAAGGCCACACGGAAAACUGGAAGGGUGAUUAAGGCAGCAGUCCUGACUCCCCUCCACCCUCCAGUUCUGCUGUGCUUGAGGUCCAGGGUGGAAGGUGAGUGGCAGGUGGUCAUGUGAUGGUGGCUGGGUUGCUUGGGAUCUGGUUCAGCCCAACCCCUUCCCCUUGAAAGACCAUUUCAGGGGGUUCGGCUGCCUGCUGCUGGUGAGAAUUCUACUAGCAGCAGUUCCAUCUGCCUGUACAUAUAGCAGCCAGAAGGGGUAGUUCAAUGGCACCAUCCUACACAUAGCGGGAGACCAACAGAACCUAGCAGAGCUGGGUAGAGGGGGCUCGGUGCUCUGCCAGUCAUGACUGCUUAAGCCCUGUUUAUUUCAAUGAGAAUCAAUUACUUACUAACUUUUGCUGGAUUGCACUGAUCUUUAGAAGCAGCCAUGAGAACAAAGAUUGUGGAAAGCUACCACACAGAAGCAGCAAGCAUGGUGCUUUGCUAACUUAAGAACUUGUCCAGGGCAAGAGAAUAAACUGUAGAUCCAUCAGGGAUUGAGUCACUUGUUUCUAUACAGUGGUACUUCGGGUUACAGACGCUUCGGGUUACAGACACUUCAGGUUACAGACUCUGCUAACCCAGAAAUAGUACCUCAGGUUAAGAACUUUGCUUCAGGAUGAGAAGAGAAAUCGUGUUCCGGUGGUGCGGCGGCAGUGGGAGGCCCCAUUAGCCAACAUGGUGCUUCAGGUUAAGAAGAGUUUCAGGUUAAGAAUGGACCUCCAGAACGAAUUAAGUUCUUAACCCGAGGUACCACUGUAUCCAUCUGAACAUGCUUUUCAGUGGACUGUGAUGCAUUCUAGACGCCAAAUGAAAUUUCAGAAAGACUGAACAAGUUUUCAAACUUGACACUUGACCUUUUUUGACUUUGAAAUGUACCCUUGAAAUCUGACGUUUGAAUUUCAGAACGCAAAAUUUGACGGCUUCGUUUCUGCCUCCUAUCGUAGGGGACGUUUCUUGACAAGUUAAGUGAAAAAGGUGACUGCAAAAUGCCCCAAUGCCAUUUCAAGUCUGCUGUCCUGCUGCAGCAGCAGCCAGAUUUUACUUAUUUUAAAAAUGUAUAUCACAUCCUUCAUCCCACAGGAUCCCAGGGUGGUGUCAGGAGUGCUGCAUGCUGCCUGCCUGGUGCUGUGAACUGUUGUUUGUGACUUUUCAGAUAUUGGCAGGACUUGAUUGGUUCUGAAAAAUCACUGGGUGCUGAUGUCAAUGUGGAAUAUAAAGUAUGCCCCAAGCUGGAGAAUAUAUGGAGAAGAUUUGCUAAUUCACAGACGAGAACUUUGAGAAGUAUGUGUGUGUAAUCAUUUCACCGACAAUAUAUUCACAAUAUAUUGUGAAUUCAAGUUCCCAUUCAAUGUUACUGUAGGAGUGAGGGACAAAUUAAAAUGUAUUAAUUUUAAUGUGAACAACUUACGUCAUUUCCUGAAAAAAUACGUGAUCCAAAAUACAGCUGUCUUUCAAAAUAUGUACUUUUGCAAAUUUCCAGCAUUUCUCCAAGCAAAAAUAUGUAC
rnacentral:lncRNA from 1 species